rnacentral:sRNA from 1 species
GCCUGGGUGUGGUAACCACACCUGUAGUCCCAGCUGCUCAUGAGGCUAAGGAAGGAGGGUUGCUUGAGCCCAAAGGAGUUGGAGGCCAGCCUGGGCAACAUAGUAAAACUUUGUGUCUU